UACGAAGGGGACUAGCGUUGUUCGGAAUUACUGGGCGUAAAGCGCGCGUAGGCGGAUCGCUAAGUCAGGGGUGAAAUCCCAGGGCUCAACCCUGGAACUGCCUUUGAUACUGACGAUCUGGAGAUCGGGAGAGGUUGGUGGAAUUCCGAGUGUAGAGGUGAAAUUCGUAGAUAUUCGGAGGAACACCAGAAGCGAAGGCGGCUCACUGGACUGGUAUUGACGCUGAGGUGCGAAAGCGUGGGGAGCAAACAGG
rnacentral:rRNA from 1 species